rnacentral:snRNA from 1 species
AGCCACGUCUCACCCACGA